GUUUUUCUGCUCAUCGGUCAGUUCCUCCUCCAGCUCUGCAACUUCGUUUGCACCAUCGUCCAACACGUCCAUUGGCUGGUCACGGAUCGACGGGGAAAUUCCAAAUUUACGCCAAAAAUCGUACCCUAAGAUACACCUUCGGUUGAGCUUUGGUGCGAAAAGCAGGUUCAGGAUUCUCGUAGUGCCGUUAAAAGAUAUUGGAAGAUCUGCACACCCCAAUACCUCCAGGUCUUCGCCGGAAGCAGUCUUCAAAUUGACCGAUGUCGGAUCUAACUUCACGUUCAGGAACGGAGUCAACGUUGGCGGCGAGCAUCGCGGUUUUGCAGUCUUCCCUCGUAUUCCGGAACAGGACUUCAAAUUUACGGUCUUCGUCCCACUGCCUGGACAUUCCUCGGAAGAUGCGGACCAUAUCAAGUUCACGUAAUCUACGCUCCUGUUUAGUACGGGACUGACCGGACAUAACAACAUCACGGACACGCAAUUCAUGGUCAAGUUCUACCUCGGACAAAUGAGCUGGGUUCAUUGAGAAGUAUUGUGCUCUCAGUUUCUCUUCCAUCAUGAAUGGUAAUGUAAGUUGAAAUUAAUUAAUUAAAAUGACAAAAAUCCAAAGAACAGAGAAAGAACACAAGAAAUGAAAAGAACAGAAAUGAAUAGUACGUAUGAAUAGCCU